GGGCUAAUACCGGAUAAUAAGAGAAGAAGCAUUUCUUCUUUUUGAAAGUCGGUUUCGGCUGACACUUACAGAUGAGCCCGCGGCGCAUUAGCUAGUUGGUGAGGUAACGGCUCACCAAGGCGACGAUGCGUAGCCGACCUGAGAGGGUGAUCGGCCACACUGGGACUGAGACACGGCCCAGACUCCUACGGGAGGCAGCAGUAGGGAAUCUUCGGCAAUGGGCGAAAGCCUGACCGAGCAACGCCGCGUGAGCGAUGAAGGCCUUCGGGUCGUAAAGCUCUGUUGUUAGAGAAGAACAAGUACGAGAGUAACUGCUCGUACCUUGACGGUACCUAACCAGAAAGCCACGGCUAACUACGUGCCAGCAGCCGCGGUAAUACGUAGGUGGCAAGCGUUAUCCGGAAUUAUUGGGCGUAAAGCGCGCGCAGGCGGUCUCUUAAGUCUGAUGUGAAAGCCCACGGCUCAACCGUGGAGGGUCAUUGGAAACUGGGAGACUUGAGUGCAGGAGAGAAAAGUGGAAUUCCACGUGUAGCGGUGAAAUGCGUAGAGAUGUGGAGGAACACCAGUGGCGAAGGCGGCUUUUUGGCCUGUAACUGACGCUGAGGCGCGAAAGCGUGGGGAGCAAACAGGAUUAGAUACCCUGGUAGUCCACGCCGUAAACGAUGAGUGCUAGGUGUUGGGGGGUUCCACCCUCAGUGCUGAAGUUAACACAUUAAGCACUCCGCCUGGGGAGUACGACCGCAAGGUUGAAACUCAAAGGAAUUGACGGGGGCC
rnacentral:rRNA from 1 species